CGGGCUGUAGCGCAGCUUGGUAGCGCGCUUCGUUCGGGACGAAGAGGUCGCGGGUUCAAAUCCCGCCAGCCCGA
rnacentral:tRNA from 1 species